rfam:Hymenolepis microstoma genomic scaffold, pathogens_HYM_contig_1812
CUGGGCAUUAUUGGGGCAACGAGCGCAUCACCGGCCCGUCCCAUGAUGUGGUCAUGGGUGUACUUGUACGUGGAGUGGCGACACUUUGCGUGCAAAGCCUGUGCGUCAUCGGGGCGGAGCAUGAGCACACACGUUGAGACCCGAAAGAUGGUGAACUAUGCUUGCGUAGGUUGAAGCCAGAGGAAACUCUGGUGGAGGACCGUAGCGAUUCUGACGUGCAAAUCGAUCGUCAAACGUGAGUAUAGGGGCGAAAGACUAAUCGAACCAUCUAGUAGCUGGUUCCCUCCGAAGUUUCCCUCAGGAUAGCUGGCGCUCAUUGGUAUAAUCAGUUUUAUCCGGUAAAGCGAAUGAUUAGAGGUACUGGGUUCGAAAUGGACUCAACCUAUUCUCAAACUUUAAAUGGGUGAGAUGCUCGACUCGCCUCGUGUGCGUGUGUGUAAUAACUGCGCGGAGUCGGGCGUUGAAUGUGCGAGUGCCAAGUGGGCCAUUUUUGGUAAGCAGAACUGGCGCUGUGGGAUGAACCAAACGCGUGGUUAAGGUGCCUAACGCUGACGCUCAUGAGAUACCACAAAAGGUGUUGGUUAAUAUAGACAGCAGGACGGUGGCCAUGGAAGUCGGCAUCCGCUAAGGAGUGUGUAACAACUCACCUGCCGAAUUGACCAGCCCUGAAAAUGGAUGGCGCUAGAGCGUCGGACCUAUACCGCGCCGUCAUCGCAAGCUGCACCUAUGGGGUUGUACAUUAUGUGGGCGUGUGUGAUCGCAGGUACAUUCGUGGUGCAGGCAAGGAGCGCGAUGACGAGUAGGAGGGUCGCCGUGGUGAGCGUAGAAGCCUCUGGCGUGAGUCAGGGUGGAGCCGCCACGGGUGCAGAUCUUGGUGGUAGUAGCAAAUAUUCAAGUGAGAACCUUGAAGGCCGAGGUGGAGAAGGGUUCCAUGGGAACAGCAGUUGGCCAUGGGUCAGGCGGUCCUAAGCGAUCCGGUGACUCGGUACAGAGUCGUGGGGUGCCUUAUAUGUUUCUGUGUUAACUUGUGAAGUGCCUUAAUUGUGUACUAAUACAUGUGUGUGUGUGCUGGCAGCCCCUCGGAGCGAAAGGGAAUCGGGUUAAUAUUCCCGACCCUGCCCACGGAGAUAGGUGGUGCAUGUGUGCUUGCAUUGGCGCGUGCAUCUUCGGGUGUAUGUGUUUGGUGUGAGUUACUGGCAUCAUCAAGCGCGGCAACGCAAACGAACUCGGAGACGUCGGCAAGAGUUCCGGGAAGAGUUUUCUUUUCUUUGUAAGGACGGCUACCACCCCUGGAAUCGGGUUGUCCGGAGAUAGGGGUCUCGCCUCCGUAAAGCACCACCCCUCUUGUGGUGUCCGGUACGCUCUUGUCGGCCCUUGAAAAUCCGAGGGAGGCAUUGUGAUUUUCGUGGCAGGCCGUACCCAUAUCCGCAUCAGGUCUCCAAGGUGAAGAGCCUCUGGCACUAGAAUAAUGUAGGUAAGGGAAGUCGGCAUAUUUGAUCCGUAACCUCGGGAAAAGGAUUGGCUCUGAGGGCUGAGCUAAACAGGCUGAAGUAGGAAACGUGCCUGCUUGGCUCGCGGCUGGUCCGAGUGCUGGUUCAAACCUGCUAUCGUGCUGUAGCAUUGCCUACUCGUUAAGCAAUGCUGCAAGCGGUGGCGGAGAGCUGUGCGCUCGGACUGGAAGCGAGCAGAGUGGGUCGUGGGCGACUUCAGCUAUGCAUACGCCUUGGUUGGCGACUGUGUGCUGCUGCCUUAACGGGUGGUGUGCAGGCAGUUGUAUGGCCUCGGGGGGUAUUUGUUUAGCAUGAAACAGCCAACUCAGAACUGGCACGGACCUGGGGAAUCCGACUGUCUAAUUAAAACAAAGCAUUGCGAUGUCUGCUGAUCGGUUUUGACGCAAUGUGAUUUCUGCCCAGUGCUCUGAAUGUCAAAGUGAAGAAAUUCAACCAAGCGCGGGUAAACGGCGGGAGUAACUAUGACUCUCUUAAGGUAGCCAAAUGCCUCGUCAUCUAAUUAGUGACGCGCAUGAAUGGAUUAACGAGAUUCCUACUGUCCCUAUCUACUAUCUAGCGAAACCACAGCCAAGGGAACGGGCUUGGCAGAAUCAGCGGGGAAAGAAGACCCUGUUGAGCUUGACUCUAGUCCGACUUUGUGAAGAGACAUGGCGGGUGUAGUAAUAAGUGGGAGCGUUGGCUUUAGCCAUUGUCGACAAUGAAAGACCACUCCCAUCAUUGUUUCUUUACUUAUUCAGUGAAGCGGGAUUGACACAAUAUAUAUAUGACUAUAUUGGCAUUGAAGCACAUGCCAGUGUCGGUGUUGCUGCGCUUGCGUAGUUUUCAUCGGCGUUGGUGUCCUCGGUUGCGUCUGGUUAGCUGCAGUCGGUUGCCUAUCGCUGCUCCUUGUGGUGGUGGGUGGCUCUGUAGCGCUAUUAGCCACGAUUGCGACGUGCGACCCGAUCUGAAGACAUUGUCAGGCGGGGAGUUUGACUGGGGCGGUACAUCUGUCAAAUCGUAACGCAGGUGUCCCAAGGUGAGCUCAGCCAGGACA